rnacentral:misc_RNA from 1 species
UCGAAAAACAAGCAUGGCGAGUUGUCGCUGGCCCAUACCAGGGUCGUGCACGCUCGUCGUUCUUCAUUUCUCCAUCUAUUUGUGCACCUCUUGUGUGGAUCCAUGUUCCUUUGGGGACGAUGGGGGACUGCUUCGCAAUGCCUUUGUGAGACGAACGUCUGAUAACCUUCUUCGCGAAUGCGAUAAAGUA